rfam:Echinostoma caproni strain Egypt genome assembly, scaffold: ECPE_scaffold0008943
GCACUGCUGACGACUCCCAAACAGGACGAAACAGCUGUCCAGUGC